rnacentral:rRNA from 1 species
GAUGAACGCUAGCGGCAGGCUUAAUACAUGCAAGUCGAGGGGCAGCAGUUUUGUAGCAAUACAGAAGCUGGCGACCGGCAAACGGGUGCGGAACACGUACGCAACCUUCCUUUAACUGGAAGAUAGCCCACCGAAAGGUGGAUUAAUACUCCAUAAUAUAUUGAAGAGGCAUCUUUUUGAUAUUAAAGCUCCGGCGGUUAAAGAUGGGCGUGCGUCUGAUUAGGUAGUUGGCGGGGUAACGGCCCACCAAGCCUUCGAUCAGUAGCUGAUGUGAGAGCAUGAUCAGCCACACGGGCACUGAGACACGGGCCCGACUCCUACGGGAGGCAGCAGUAAGGAAUAUUGGUCAAUGGACGCAAGUCUGAACCAGCCAUGCCGCGUGGAGGAUGAAGGCCCUCUGGGUUGUAAACUUCUUUUCUUUGGGACGAAACCCCUGUUUCUACGGGGACUGACGGUACCAGAGGAAUAAGCACCGGCUAACUCCGUGCCAGCCGCCGCCGUAAAAC